AAUAUUGGACAAUGGGGGCAACCCUGAUCCAGCCAUGCCGCGUGUGUGAAGAAGGUCCUCGGAUUGUAAAGCACUUUAUGUUGGGAGGAAGGGCUUUAGGUUAAUACCCUGAAGUUUUGACGUUACAAACAGAAUAAGUACCGGCGAACUAUGCGCCAGCAUCCGCGGUAAUAAAGAGGGUGCAAGCGUUAAGCGGAAUUACUGGGCGUAAAGAGCGCGUAGGUGGUGCAGUAAUAUGGGUGUGAAAUCCCCGUGCUUAACCUGGGAACUGCUUUCAUAACUGCUGAGCUAGAGUACGGUAGAGGGUAGUGGAAUGUCCUGUGUAGCGGUGAAAUGCGUAGAUAUAGGAAGGAACACCAGUGGCGAAGGCGACUACCUGGACUGAUACUGACACUGAGGUGCGAAAGCGUGGGGAGCAAAC
rnacentral:rRNA from 1 species